rnacentral:rRNA from 1 species
AGUCGUAUCGCCGGGUAGCUAUAUCUGGAAGAGAUAACCGCUGAAAGCAUCUAAGCGGGAAACUCGCCUCGAGAUGAGAUUUCCCCGGGGGUUAAACCCCCCUGAAGGGUCGUGGAAGACCACCACGUUGAUAGGUCGGGUGUGGAAGCGCAGCGAUGCGUUAAGCUGACCGAUACUAAUUGCCCGUAAGGCUUGAUCCUAUAA